rnacentral:rRNA from 1 species
GAUGAACGCUAGCUACAGGCUUAACACAUGCAAGUCGAGGGACCGGCGCACGGGAGAGUAACACGUAUCCAACCUGCCCAUUACUCGGUGAAAGCCUUUCGAAAGAAAGAUUAAUACCCUAUAUAAAGGAUGGAGAUGCGUGCCAUUAGGUUGUUGGUGAGGUAACGGCUCACCAAGACUUCGAUGGAUAGGGGUUCUGAGAGGAAGGUCCCCCACAUUGGAACUGAGACACGGUCCAAACUCCUACGGGAGGCAGCAGUGAGGAAUAUUUGGCAAUGGGCGCUAGCCUGAACCAGCCAAGUAGCGUGAAGGAUGAAGGCUUAUGGGUCGUAAACUUCUUUUAUAUAAGAAUAUGUAUUAUAUGAAUAAGGAUCGGCUAACUACGUGCCAGCAGCCGCGGUAAUUC